CGUGCAGGCGGUUUGGUAAGUUGGGUGUUAAAUCUCCGGGCUCAACCCGGAGCCGUCGCCCAAAACUACCAAACUAGAGGACGGUAGAGGGAAGUGGAAUUCCGGGUGUAGCGGUGAAAUGCGUAGAUACCCGGAGGAACACCAGUGGCGAAGGCGGCUUCCCUGGGCCCGCUCCUGACGCUAAGACGCGAAAGCUAGGGUAGCAAACG
rnacentral:rRNA from 1 species